CUGGAGGUUGAAAUGAUGGAGUUUAACUUGUCUGAACCAGCUUUAUGUUUUUGCUACUGGUUACACAUUUCUUUCCAUGGACAGCUUGCUUGGGGGAGGAUAUCUGAGACUUGAAGAGGCAAGGUCUCCCUGUUUUGCAGGCUGAGUUAUCUGCCUCAGACUCCUGAUCUCUGGGACUGCAGGCAUCUGUCAUGGAGCCCAGCUAGAACCUUUCAAGGUAUGAAGAAUCAACUUGACAACAGUACAUGGAGCAAGUUUUCAGAAAAGGCAGACCUUCUAUUCUGAAAACUUUGUAGGGAUUUCAUAUGAUCACAGCAAGCAUGCAACUUACCCUUUAAAAGGCACUUUCAUGGAUGCUGAUGGAAACAGUAAACAACAUCUUUCAAUGUUAAUAAGUUUCUGCAAACUAUCUGGAGGAGUCUGGUUAUUCCAAGUGGGAUGAAAGAAGGGAAGUUAAUCCAAUCAAAUAAUGAAGGCGUGUUUUAGUUGUUUGCCUGUUAAUUUUAAGUGGAAAUAAACAUGGAUCAUUAAGACUA